UGUACAUCUUCUUAAUGAACUCUAAUUGAUGAAGUCCUUAGGACUAUCUUAAUCGAUAUAGGAGGAUAUAUCGUUUAGUCCUUAAAAUAAGUUUACGAUCAAAUAAUAUGCUAUUACUAGGAUGAUAGCGUUAUUUCGAGUGUAGGUCAUUGUGUGUCAUAUGCAUUGGUUGUUCUCAUAACCAAGAGGUAUGAAGACACUGAUAUGGAUACAAGUGAGAUAUAGAAGUACAUCUCAUUGAACAUGACCAACUGUUGAGCACUCUACUAUCAAGAGUAGCUCGCAAAGGAUAUGAGUAUAAGUAUUUUUCUAACCUG
rnacentral:lncRNA from 1 species